GCGUAAGCAAUCUACCUUCAAGAUGGGGACAACACUUCGAAAGGGGUGCUAAUACCGAAUGAAUGUAAGAGUAUCGCAUGAGACACUUACUAAAGGAGGCCUCUGAAUAUGCUUCCGCUUGAAGAUGAGCUUGCGUCUGAUUAGCUAGUUGGUGAGGGUAAGGGCCCACCAAGGCGACGAUCAGUAGCCGGUCUGAGAGGAUGAACGGCCACAUUGGGAC
rnacentral:rRNA from 1 species